rnacentral:rRNA from 1 species
CAAUAGCGUAUAUUAAAGUUGUUGCAGUUAAAAAGCUCGUAGUUGGAUUUGUGGCGUACGGUGUGUUCCGGGCACUUGUUGUCUGAGUAACCUGCUGUUGCCAUCCUUGGGUGGAACCUGUGAGGCAUUAGGUUGUCGUGCAGGGGAUGCCCAUCAUUUACUGUGAAAAAAUUAGAGUGUUCAAAGCAGGCUUAUGCCGUUGAAUAUAUUAGCAUGGAAUAAUGAGAUAGGACUUUUUUGCUAUUUUGUUGGUUUGCGCAAAGAGGUAAUGAUUAAUAGAGACAGUUGGGGGUAUUCGUAUUCCAUUGUCAGAGGUGAAAUUCUUGGAUUUUUGGAAGACGAACUACUGCGAAAGCAUUUACCAAGGAUGUUUUCAUUAA